rnacentral:sRNA from 21 species
CCCUAAAGAUCGCUGAAUCCGAAUAGGAGCGGGGGAACCAACCGUGGCUUUGUGCGCCACAUGGGGUGAAUCCUGUUCAGGACGCCUGUUCUGAACGGGUAGGGUGACUCUCAUCACCCGAAUCCGUCAGCUAACCUCGUAAGCGUGUUGAGAGAAGGG